AGAAGAGACAGCAGCAGGCUCCUUGCUCCCAAGCAGCCAGUGGGAAAGUUCCAUUGCAGUGCUUUGUUGCAUCCAUUUAUCAGGAAUGGAGCAUCCUUAACUCCAGGAGGGUGACCUGCAUCCCAUAGAUGGGGUAGAGCAGACUGGGUGCUGGUGCACGGAGGAGCCACGGCUGCUGAUGAACUCAGGACCUGCAUCCCCCCACCUGCUGGCUCCUUCCUCAGGACCUGCAUCCUGCUCUACUCCAUGGUUACAUGACGGAGAAAUGGC
rnacentral:lncRNA from 1 species